GCUUGUCUCAAAGAUUAAGCCAUUGCACGUCUAAGGAUAAAUAUUAUUUAACCAUAAACCUGCGAAAGGCUCAUUAAAUCAGUAAUAAUCUAUUCUAUUAUUUAAUCCUAUUUGGAUAACUGUAGUAAUUCUAGAGCUAAUACAUGCAAAAACCUGGACUUUACAGAACAGGUGUACUUAUUAGACUUUAAAACCGAUUACAAUUUAUUGUAAAUUUUAAAAUGAAUUAAAAUAAGUUUAUGAAUCGCAGAUCAUUUUGUGAUGAUAAGAAUGAAUUUCCUGCCCUAUCAACUUUCGAUGGUAAUGUAGUGGAUUACCAUGGUGAUGACGGGUAACGGGGAAUUAGGGUUUGAUUCCGGAGAAAAGGCCUGAGAGACGGCCAUUACUUCUAAGGAAGGCAGCAGGCGCGUAAAUUACCCAAUCCUAAUACGGG
rnacentral:rRNA from 1 species